UUCAGAUUGAAGAUCUACUCUUAAUUUUUAUUGAUUCAAGGUCCAGUCAAGUUAUUACUUUCUAUAGUCUUUGUGUUCAUUGUUCAGUCUGUGUGACUAUUGUCCAGUCAAUGUGAUCCUUGCCAGUUGAGUUCCUAUUAUAGUAUUUAUUUGAUUCCUGUCCAGUCAAGUCAAUCCCUGUCCAGUCGAUUUGAUCUCUGUCCAGUCAAGUUGAUCCUUGUCCAGUCAAGUUGAUCCUAAGUGUCCAGUCAAGUUGAACCUUGUCCAGUGGAUUUGUUCCCUGUCCAGUCAAGUUGAACCUUGUCCAGUGGAUUUGUUCCCUGUCCAGUCAAGUUGAUCCUUGUCCAGUGGAGUUGAUCCCUGUCCAGUCAAGUUGACCCUUUCCAGUCAAGUUGAACCUUGUCCAGUGGAUUUGAUCCCUGUCCAGGCAGGCUGUUGUUAUAGAGAUGCUUUAGAUGAUGGCACUUUCUUAUUGAUAAAUAUAGCUGACCUCAGUUUUCAUCAAAUUAGAAAUAUGGAAAAUUGGAAUAAGAAACUCCUUGAAGCUGCUACAAAAGGAAGAGUAGAAGAAUUGAAGCUUUGCUUAGCAAACGGAGCUAACAUUGAUUAUCGAGAG